rnacentral:rRNA from 1 species
UACGUAGGGUGCAAGCGUUGUCCGGAAUUAUUGGGCGUAAAGAGCUCGUAGGCGGUUUGUCGCGUCUGCUGUGAAAACUCGGGGCUUAACCCCGGGCUUGCAGUGGGUACGGGCAGACUAGAGUGCGGUAGGGGUGACUGGAAUUCCUGGUGUAGCGGUGGAAUGCGCAGAUAUCAGGAGGAACACCGAUGGCGAAGGCAGGUCACUGGGCCGCAACUGACGCUGAGGAGCGAAAGCAUGGGGAGCGAACAGG